rnacentral:misc_RNA from 1 species
GAUGAAGGAACGCAGCGAAAUGCGAUAACUAAUGUGAAUUGCAGAAUUCAGUGAAUCAUCGAGUCUUUGAACGCACAUUGCGCCCCCUGGUAUUCCGGGGGGCAUGCCUGUCCGAGCGUCAUUGCUGCCCUCAAGCACGGCUUGUGUGUUGGGCUCCGUCCCCCCGGGGACGGGCCCGAAAGGCAGCGGCGGCACCGAGUCCGGUCCUCGAGCGUAUGGGGCUUUGUCACCCGCUCUGUAGGCCCGGCCGGCGCCAGCCGACAACCCAUCAUCCUUUUCAGGUUGACCUCGGAUCAGGUAGGGAUACCCGCUGAACUUAAGCAUAUCAAUAAGCGGAGGA